UGUAUAAUGGGUCAGCGACUUAUAUUCUGUAGCAAGGUUAACCGAAUAGGGGAGCCGAAGGGAAACCGAGUCUUAACUGGGCGUUAAGUUGCAGGGUAUAGACCCGAAACCCGGUGAUCUAGCCAUGGGCAGGUUGAAGGUUGGGUAACACUAACUGGAGGACCGAACCGACUAAUGUUGAAAAAUUAGCGGAUGACUUGUGGCUGGGGGUGAAAGGCCAAUCAAACCGGGAGAUAGCUGGUUCUCCCCGAAAGCUAUUUAGGUAGCGCCUCGUGAACUCAUCUCCGGGGGUAGAGCACUGUUUCGGCAAGGGGGUCAUCCCGACUUACCAACCCGAUGCAAACUGCGAAUACCGGAGAAUGUUAUCACGGGAGACACACGGCGGGUGCUAACGUCCGUCGUGAAGAGGGAAACAACCCAGACCGCCAGCUAAGGUCCCAAAGUCAUGGUUAAGUGGGAAACGAUGUGGGAAGGCCCAGACAGCCAGGAUGUUGGCUUAGAAGCAGCCAUCAUUUAAAGAAAGCGUAAUAGCUCACUGGUCGAGUCGGCCUGCGCGGAAGAUGUAACGGGGCUAAACCAUGCACCGAAGCUGCGGCAGCGACGCUUAUGCGUUGUUGGGUAGGGGAGCGUUCUGUAAGCCUGUGAAGGUGUACUGUGAGGUAUGCUGGAGGUAUCAGAAGUGCGAAUGCUGACAUAAGUAACGAUAAAGCGGGUGAAAAGCCCGCUCGCCGGAAGACCAAGGGUUCCUGUCCAACGUUAAUCGGGGCAGGGUGAGUCGACCCCUAAGGCGAGGCCGAAAGGCGUAGUCGAUGGGAAACAGGUUAAUAUUCCUGUACUUGGUGUUACUGCGAAGGGGGGACGGAGAAGGCUAUGUUGGCCGGGCGACGGUUGUCCCGGUUUAAGCGUGUAGGCUGGUUUUCCAGGCAAAUCCGGAAAAUCAAGGCUGAGGCGUGAUGACGAGGCACUACGGUGCUGAAGCAACAAAUGCCCUGCUUCCAGGAAAAGCCUCUAAGCAUCAGGUAACAUCAAAUCGUACCCCAAACCGACACAGGUGGUCAGGUAGAGAAUACCAAGGCGCUUGAGAGAACUCGGGUGAAGGAACUAGGCAAAAUGGUGCCGUAACUUCGGGAGAAGGCACGCUGAUAUGUAGGUGAAGCGACUUGCUCGUGGAGCUGAAAUCAGUCGAAGAUACCAGCUGGCUGCAACUGUUUAUUAAAAACACAGCACUGUGCAAACACGAAAGUGGACGUAUACGGUGUGACGCCUGCCCGGUGCCGGAAGGUUAAUUGAUGGGGUCAGCGCA
rnacentral:rRNA from 1 species